UGCCGGCCUCUGCGUCCCUGAGACCCUUUAACCUGUGAGGAUGUCCAGGGUCACAGGUGAGGUUCUUGGGAGCCUGGCGUCCGGCC
rnacentral:pre_miRNA from 1 species